rnacentral:rRNA from 1 species
GACCUCAAAUCAGGUAGGRCUACCCGCUGAACUUAAGCAUAUCAAUAAGCGGAGGAAAAGAAACUAACAAGGAUUCCCCUAGUAACKGCGAGYGRASMGGGAARAGCUCAAAUUURAAAUCUGGCGGUCUCUCAGCGUCCGAGUUGUARUCURKAGARRCGUYUUCCGYGCYGGACCGUGUMCAAGUCYCUUGGAACAGRGYRUCRWAGAGGGUGASAAUCCCGUMYUUGACACGGACKACCRGYGCUYUGUGAUCGGUCUUCWAMGAGUCGAGUUGUUUGGGAAUGCAGCUCAAAAUGGGUGGUAAAUUCCAUCUAAAGCUAAAUAUUGGCGAGAGACCGAUAGCGAACAAGUACCGUGAGGGAAAGAUGAAAAGCACUUUGGAAAGAGAGUGUCGUGUCCAAGGGGUUCAGCCGGUUCUGCCGGUGUAUUCCCUUCGGAUGGGUCAACAUCAGUUUUGUCCGGUGGAYAAUGGAGAUGGGAAGGUGGCACCCUCGGGUGUGUUAUAGCCCGUCGCCACAUACAYCGGACGAGACUGAGGAUCGCAGCUCGCGCAUCAGCGCCGGGGUUCGCCCACGUCCGAGCUUAGGAUGUUGACAUAAUGGCUUUAAACGACCCGUCUUGAAACACGGACCAAGGAGUCUAACAUACCUGCGAGUGUUUGGGUGUCAAACCCGAGCGCGCAAUGAAAGUGAACGUAGGAGGGAUCCGCAAGGAGCACCUUUGACCGAUCUGGAUCUUCUGUGAUGGAUUUGAGUAAGAGCAUGUAUGCUGGGACCCGAAAGAUGGUGAACUAUGCCUGAAUAGGGUGAAGCCAGGGGAAACUCUGGUGGAGGCUCGUAGCGAUUCUGACGUGCAAAUCGAUCGUCAAAUUUGGGUAUAGGGGCGAAAGACUAAUCGAACCAUCUAGUAG